rnacentral:rRNA from 1 species
GGCGUAGGCGGAGAUGUAAGUCAGAUGUGAAAUUCCGAAGCUUAACUUCGGAGCUGCGUCUGAAACUACAUCCCUUGAGGGUAGACGGAGAGAACGGAAUUCCAAGUGUAGCGGUGAAAUGCGUAGAAAUUUGGAAGAACACCCGUGGCGAAAGCGGUUCUCUAGUUUACACCUGACGCUAAGGCCCGAAAGCGAGGGGAGCAAACA